UUGCUCUGUCACCCAGGCGGAGGCUGCAGUGAGCCAAGAUCACGCUACUGCCCUCCAGCCUGGGCGACAGAGCAAGGCUCCAUUUGGAAAAAAAAAAAAUGCAGUUAACAGUUUGACUCACGUGUCAAGUGAACACUGUUUUUUGAUAUAAAUCUCUAUAAUGUAUUCAACUGUAUACUAACAUCAACCUUUUGUAUGAGUUAAUAUGAAGUCAAAAGUGUUGCUACUCUAUUUCUAAACUGCUUGGCUCUUUAGAUUUCUAAGAAUAAAUGAUGAUUCAUCUACACUUUGUGUUACAGGAAAUAAUACACUAACUAAGUUUAUGCUAGUACUGAGAGGCCAGAUAAACACAAUUAAAGAUAUGUUAUCUGUCUAAAAUGAUAUUUUAAAGUAUUUAAAUCACUUAUACGUCUGUUAAGUGGACAAUGUAUUGACAGAGCUAGAGGUAACUUACAUUAUCCACAACAACUAUCCAUGAAUGAAGACAUACUAUAUAAAUAACUUAUAGGCAAUUCAAAAUUCCAUUUGGCUACUGGUUCCAAUCUUUUUUCUCUUUACUAACAUGGCUAAUAGAGCACCAAAA
rnacentral:lncRNA from 1 species